CCUACGGGAGGCAGCAGUGGGGAAUAUUGGACAAUGGGGGGAACCCUGAUCCAGCGACGCCGCGUGAGUGAAGAAGUAUUUCGGUAUGUAAAGCUCUAUCAGCAGGGAAGAAAGAAAUGACGGUACCUGACUAAGAAGCCCCGGCUAACUACGUGCCAGCAGCCGCGGUAAUACGUAGGGGACAAGCGUUAUCCGGAUUUACUGGGUGUAAAGGGAGCGUAGACGGCGAUGCAAGUCUGAAGUGAAAGGCGGGGGCCCAACCCCCGGACUGCUUUGGAAACUGUAUGGCUGGAGUGAAGGAGAGGUAAGUGGAAUUCCUAGUGUAGCGGUGAAAUGCGUAGAUAUUAGGAGGAACACCAGUGGCGAAGGCGGCUUACUGGACUGUAACUGACGUUGAGGCUCGAAAGCGUGGGGAGCAAACAGGAUUAGAUACCCUGGUAGUC
rnacentral:rRNA from 1 species